GAAACCUCAUCUUCGAUCGUUCGCCAUCCGGGCAUCGAUCAGUGUUUCCAACACGGGCGUUCGCCCAGAUGAGGAGAAAGU
ncrna:unclassified sequences RAGATH-10 RNA